UACGAAGGGGGCUAGCGUUGUUCGGAAUUACUGGGCGUAAAGCGCGUGUAGGCGGGUCUUUAAGUCAGGGGUGAAAUGCCAAGGCUCAACCUUGGAACUGCCUUUGAUACUGGAGACCUUGAGUCCGGGAGAGGUGAGUGGAAUUGCGAGUGUAGAGGUGAAAUUCGUAGAUAUUCGCAAGAACACCAGUGGCGAAGGCGGCCAACUGGACCAAUACUGACGCUGAGGCACGAAAGCGUGGGGAGCAAACAGG
rnacentral:rRNA from 1 species